UCCACCUGUCUGAGUUAUUUACUGCGCUAGUCUGGUUGAGGAUGAAUCUCCAGGUCAGCCUAACCUCCCCCUCCCGGAUCUCUCCAUGGAUUCUUCGAAGAUUUAAGCUCCAAAAAUGAUUAUAGACCGACACUGGCUGUCCUACUCGGAGACUGAAUACUGUCUAAUGCAGUAGAGAAGCAUGUUGGUGUCUCCGGCCAAACUUCACGAACAGAACAACAACCUGAAGACAGUCUGCUAGUGAGUGGACAUCUCUCUGGUGGAGUGCAGAGAGGAACUGACUCUUAU